rnacentral:rRNA from 1 species
GACGAACGCUGGCGGCGUGCUUAACACAUGCAAGUCGAACGGAAAGGCCCUGCUUUUGUGGGGUGCUCGAGUGGCGAACGGGUGAGUAACACGUGAGUAGCCUGCCCUUUACUUUGGGAUAACUUCAGGAAACUGCGGCUAAUACCGGAUAGGAGCUCCUGCUGCAUGGUGGGGGUUGGAAAGUUUCGGCGGUUGGGGAUGGACUCGCGGCUUAUCAGCUUGUUGGUGGGGUAGUGGCUUACCAAGGCUUUGACGGGUAGCCGGCCUGAGAGGGGGACCGGCCACAAUGGGACUGAGAUACGGACCAGACUCCUACGGGAGGCAGCAGUGGGGAAUAUUGCACAAUGGGCGGAAGCCUGAGGCAGCAACGCCGCGUGCGGGAUGACGGCCUUCGGGUUGUAAACCGAGUUCGCCUGUGACGAAGCGUGAGUGACGGUAAUGGGUAAAGAAGCACCGGCUAACUACGUG